rnacentral:lncRNA from 1 species
UGCAUCAACGUAUGCAAACAGAACCGCUUGUGAUGACGAAGCCUAUGUUCAUGUCCUUUUGUGUUGCUGUCUAUGGAAGAUACUCAUCCAGUGCUGACAUUGCUGGCAUGGAGAUAUUUCUGGAUUGCUGGCACUGCUCCUCUUCAGAUGUUAUGGAACUUAAGGAUUCAGGGUGGUAUUUGAGAAGACACUGAAACUCACUAAAAGGCAUGACGUUUAAAAGCAGGAGAAGAAAGUGGGAGAAGAAAACUCUCCAGAUCAUUUCAGAUGUUAUGGAACUUAAGGAUUCAAGGUGGUAUUUGAGAAGACACUGAAACUCACUGAAAGUUAUCAAGAAAUAAUUUGGAUUUGAACAGGACAAAGG